rnacentral:rRNA from 1 species
UACGAAGGGGGCUAGCGUUGUUCGGAAUUACUGGGCGUAAAGCGUAUGCAGGCGGAUCGUUAAGUCGGGGGUGAAAUCCCGAGGCUCAACCUCGGAACUGCCUUCGAUACUGGCGAUCUUGAGUCCGGGAGAGGUGAGUGGAACUCUGAGUGUAGAGGUGAAAUUCGUAGAUAUUCGGAAGAACACCAGUGGCGAAGGCGGCUCACUGGCCCGGUACUGACGCUGAGAUACGAAAGCGUGGGGAGCAAACAGG